AGAGCGAACGUUAGCGGCGGGCCUAACACAUGCAAGUCGAACGAGAAUGAGGGCUUCGGCUCUCUAGUAAAGUGGCGGACGGGUGCGUAACACGUAGGUAAUCUACCUUCCGGCGGGGGACAACAGUCCGAAAGGAUUGCUAAUACCGCGUACGUCGGCAGAGUCCUCGGACUUUGUCGGGAAAGAUGGCCUCUCCUUGGAAGCUGUCACCGGAAGAUGAACCUGCGGCCCAUCAGCUUGUUGGUGAGGUAACGGCUCACCAAGGCGAAGACGGGUAGCUGGUCUGAGAGGAUGAUCAGCCACACUGGGACUGCGACACGGCCCAGACU
rnacentral:rRNA from 1 species